AUCUGCCCAGUCGAGGGGGAUAACAGUUGGAAACGACUGCUAAUACCGCAUACGCCCUACGGGGGAAAGGAGGGGACCUUCGGGCCUUCCGCGAUUGGAUGAACCUAGGUGGGAUUAGCUAGUUGGUGAGGUAAUGGCUCACCAAGGCGACGAUCCCUAGCUGUUCUGAGAGGAUGAUCAGCCACACUGGGACUGAGACACGGCCCAGACUCCUACGGGAGGCAGCAGUGGGGAAUAUUGCACAAUGGGCGAAAGCCUGAUGCAGCCAUGCCGCGUGUGUGAAGAAGGCCUUCGGGUUGUAAAGCACUUUCAGUAGGGAGGAAAGGUUAGCAAUUAAUACUUGUUAGCUGUGACGUUACCUACAGAAGAAGGACCGGCUAACUCCGUGCCAGCAGCCGCGGUAAUACGGAGGGUCCGAGCGUUAAUCGGAAUUACUGGGCGUAAAGCGUGCGCAGGCGGUUAUUUAAGCCAGAUGUGAAAGCCCCGGGCUCAACCUGGGAAUUGCAUUUGGAACUGAGUAACUAGAGUCUUGUAGAGGGGGGUAGAAUUUCAGGUGUAGCGGUGAAAUGCGUAGAGAUCUGAAGGAAUACCGGUGGCGAAGGCGGCCCCCUGGACAAAGACUGACG
rnacentral:rRNA from 1 species